rnacentral:rRNA from 1 species
CCCUUAGAUGUUUUGGGCCGCACGCGCGCUACACUGAUGCAUUCAACGAGUUUUUCCUGGUCCGAGAGGAAUGGGUAACCUUUUGAAAGUGCAUCGUGCUAGGGAUAGACUAUUGCAAUUAUUGGUCUUCAACGAGGAAUUCCUAGUAGACGUAGUUCAUCAGACUGCAUCGAUUACGUCCCUGCCCUUUGUACACACCGCCCGUCGCUCCUACCGAUUGGAUGAUCCGGUGAGCUAUUCGGACCUUCGCUUCGUCGAUUUUCGGCUUUGUGAGGGAAAGUCUCGCGAACCUUAUCAUCUAGAGGAAGGAGAAGUCGUANCA